rnacentral:rRNA from 1 species
CCUACGGGCGGCAGCAGUGGGGAAUAUUGGACAAUGGGCGAAAGCCUGAUCCAGCCAUGCCGCGUGUGUGAAGAAGGCCUUCGGGUUGUAAAGCACUUUCAGUGGGGAAGAAAGCCUUGGGGCUAAUACCCUCGAGGAAGGACAUCACCCACAGAAGAAGCACCGGCUAACUCCGUGCCAGCAGCCGCGGUAAUACGGAGGGUGCGAGCGUUAAUCGGAAUUACUGGGCGUAAAGCGCGCGUAGGCGGUCUGAUAAGCCGGUUGUGAAAGCCCCGGGCUCAACCUGGGAACGGCAUCCGGAACUGUCAGGCUAGAGUGCAGGAGAGGAAGGUAGAAUUCCCGGUGUAGCAGUGAAAUGCGUAGAGAUCGGGAGGAAUACCAGUGGUGAAGGCGGCCUUCUGGACUGACACUGACGCUGAGGUGCGAAAGCGUGGGUAGCAAACAGGAUUAGAUACCCGAGUAGUC